AGAUGUUGGGUUAAGUCCGUAACGAGCGCAACCCUUGUCCUUAGUUACCAGCACGUUAUGGUGGGCACUCUAAGGAGACUGCCGGUGACAAACCGGAGGAAGGUGGGGAUGACGUCAAGUCAUCAUGGCCUUACGGCCUGGGCUACACACGUGCUACAAUGGUCGGUACAAAGGGUUGCCAAGCCGCGAGGUGGAGCUAAUCCCAUAAAACCGAUCGUAGUCCGGAUCGCAGUCUGCAACUCGACUGCGUGAAGUCGGAAUCGCUAGUAAUCGUGAAUCAGAAUGUCACGGUGAAUACGUUCCCGGGCCUU
rnacentral:rRNA from 1 species